CAGCUUCCUCUGCGGAACUUCAUCGCGGGUUCCCCAGGACUGCCCAGGCCUCCCCAGGACUGCACAGGCCUCCCCUGGGCCGGCGGAGCCGCUCUCACCUUCCACACUUCGCCGCCCUCCUGCGCUCAGGCAGCAUUCUGGACACGGGAUGUACAAGCUUCUCCUGUACCUGCAGUUUCUCACGAUAAUCAGCUCACAAUAGUCCUUAUGCCAAAGAGGCAUGUGUGGAGGUGCCAUAUUCUGGUCUCCUACAACAUUCAGUAAUGGUCAAGAUGGUUGAUGCAGGAAACAGAUGGAGGGGCAGAAGUUGAUACUCAUCUCAUUAGAUCCAAAGAAGCCAAAUGGUGGCCAUCACCUGUGACAUGAAGAGGGUAUAUUUUAUGGAACUGGACAGCUUUCAGAAUCACAAGCAACCUCUUCAAAAUGUGAUCUACUGAAACGUGCUUGAAAGAGAGAAUAGGAGUGAGGCGGGCAAAGGAAGCAGAAGCCAUUGUGAACUGCCCUAGAGAAACCUUGGGCAUCUUUUUGUUGGGCAAAGUGGUAGAGGCUGAAACGGGGAAUAGCAUGUAACAUUUUAUUUGACUGAAAUAAACAGCUGUUUGUUUUUUUUUUCUUUCAUAUGUAAGAUAGACAAAAGGUGUUUGACAGAUAAGGAUUGGGGCAAUGUUGGUAUGAGUUCAGCUUUUUAGUUUGUUCUUUAAAAGUGGCCAUCAAGAUGUGGGUGUAAGGUAUUUCACAGUGAUUUGCAUUCAUUCUCAUUGCUGUCACCAUCAAGGCCCAGUUACUCAAUAUCCAAGUUUGUUUUUGUUG
ensembl:lncRNA novel transcript